rnacentral:rRNA from 1 species
CAGUAGCCGCGGUAAUACGUAGGGUGCGAGCGUUAAUCGGAAUUACUGGGCGUAAAGCGAGCGCAGACGGUUAUUUAAGCAGGAUGUGAAAUCCCCGGGCUUAACCUGGGAACUGCGUUCUGAACUGGAUAGCUAGAGUGUGUCAGAGGGGGGUAGAAUUCCACGUGUAGCAGUGAAAUACGUAGAGAUGUGGAGGAACACCGAUGGCGAAGGCAGCCCCCUGGGCCAAUACUGACGCUCAUGCACGAAAGCGUGGGGAGCAAACAGGAUUAGAUACCCGAGUAGUCCCUGUCUCUUAUAC